rnacentral:snRNA from 2 species
CAGUGUUAAAGCUCUUUUAGAAUUUGUCUAGCAGGCAAAUAAAUAAAUAAAAUAAAAUAAAUAAUAUGCCUUU